rnacentral:rRNA from 1 species
CCUACGGGCGGCUGCAGUGGGGAAUAUUGCACAAUGGGCGCAAGCCUGAUGCAGCCAUGCCGCGUGUGUGAAGAAGGCCUUCGGGUUGUAAAGCACUUUCAGCGGGGAGGAAGGCGUUAAGGUUAAUAACCUUGGCGAUUGACGUUACCCGCAGAAGAAGCACCGGCUAACUCCGUGCCAGCAGCCGCGGUAAUACGGAGGGUGCAAGCGUUAAUCGGAAUUACUGGGCGUAAAGCGCACGCAGGCGGUCUGUCAAGUCGGAUGUGAAAUCCCCGGGCUCAACCUGGGAACUGCAUUCGAAACUGGCAGGCUAGAGUCUUGUAGAGGGGGGUAGAAUUCCAGGUGUAGCGGUGAAAUGCGUAGAGAUCUGGAGGAAUACCGGUGACGAAGGCGGCCCCCUGGACAAAGACUGACGCUCAGGUGCGAAAGCGUGGGGAGCAAACAGGAUUAGAUACCCCGGUAGUC